AGAGAGAGACAUGCGCGCAUAUCAAUAAGCGGAGGAAAAGAAACUAACAAGGAUUCCCCUUAGUAACGGCGAGUGAAGCGGGAAGAGCUCAAAUUUGAAAUCUUCAAGGUUCUACCUUGACGAAUUGUAGUUUAUAGAAGUGUUUUCUGUUAGUGGAGUGGCAAAAGUUCUUUGGAAUAGGACAUCAUUAGAGGGUGAGAAUCCCGUAUUUGGUCAUUCCUCCUAGCGUUGUGAUACACUUUCAACGAGUCGGAUUGUUUGGGAAUGCAGUCCAAAAUGGGUGGUAAAUUUCAUCUAAAGCUAAAUAUUGGCGAGAGACCGAUAGCGAACAAGUACCGUGAGGGAAAGAUGAAAAGAACUUUGAAAAGAGAGUUAAACAGUACGUGAAAUUGUCAAAAGGGAAGCGUUUGACACCAGUGUUGUUUUUCCGAAAAUCAAUUACGAAUGUUUUGUUUUUGAGGAGUUAUGACUUCAUCGGCUUGCUCCUUUCUUUACGAAACUUUCUUAAUGCACUUUUCGGUUAACAAGUCAACAUCAAUUUCUUUUGUUGUAAAAGGGUAUGAGGAAGGUGGCUUUCUUUUCGGAGAAAGUGUUUAUAGCCUUGUGCCUCUACAAUCGGAGAGAUUGAGGUCUGCAGCGUAGAUCCUUCGGGGUUAGAUACAUUUGUGCUAAGUUAUAGCUUUUCAUAGACAACUUGUUGACUAUGUUUAGUCUUGUAGCUUACUCGCUUACUGCUAUUUUACCUACGCUUAGGAUGUUGAUAGUCACAGCGUGUAC
rnacentral:rRNA from 1 species